CGCAUCUGUGCAUGCAGCAUAUCAAUAAGCGGAGGAAAAGAAACUAACAAGGAUUCCCCUAGUAACGGCGAGUGAAGCGGGAAGAGCUCAAAUUUGAAAUCUUAAAGGGUUUCCCUUUACGAAUAUGUAGUUUAAAGAAGUGUUUUCUGUUGAGGUUUUGGUAAAAGUUCUUUGGAAUAGGACAUCAUAGAGGGUGAGAAUCCCGUAUUUGACCUUUACUUUCAACUUUGUGAUACACUUUCAAAGAGUCGGAUUGUUUGGGAAUGCAGUCCAAAAUGGGUGGUAAAUUUCAUCUAAAGCUAAAUAUUGGCGAGAGACCGAUAGCGAACAAGUACCGUGAGGGAAAGAUGAAAAGAACUUUGAAAAGAGAGUUAAACAGUACGUGAAAUUGUCAAAAGGGAAGCGUUUGACACCAGUGUUGUUUUUCUGAAAAUCAAUUAAAGAACUGUUUAUGCUAAGCUGUUUAGACUUUGAUCAGCUAACUGUUUAGUUUUGAGCUUUUCUUUAAUGCACUCUUCAGUUAACAAGUCAACAUCAAUUUCUUUUGCUGUAAAAAAGCUUGAGGAAGGUGGCUUGAGAUUCGUCUUAAGUGUUUAUAGCCUCUUGCCUAUGCAGUCGGAGAGAUUGAGGUCUGCAGCGUAGAUCCUUCGGGGCUAAAUGCAUUUGUGCUAAGUUAUAGCAUUUUAUAGACAACUUGUUGACUAUGAUUUGUCUUGUAGCUUACUCGCUUAUGUUAUUUUACCUACGCUUAGGAUGUUGAGUCAUCACACAUCUCU
rnacentral:rRNA from 1 species